GGGGAUGUAGCUCAGUUGUAGAGUAUUUGCCUAAUAUGCAUAAGGCCCUGGGUUCAAUAUCCAGCACCACCA
rnacentral:tRNA from 1 species